CCUACGGGUGACAGCAGUGAGGAAUAUUGGUCAAUGGACGAGAGUCUGAACCAGCCAAGUAGCGUGAAGGAUGACUGCCCUAUGGGUUGUAAACUUCUUUUAUAUGGGAAUAAAAUGUUCCACGUGUGGGAUUUUGUAUGUACCAUAUGAAUAAGGAUCGGCUAACUCCGUGCCAGCAGCCGCGAUAAUACGGAGGAUCCGAGCGUUAUCCGGAUUUAUUGGGUUUAAAGGGAGCGUAGGUGGAUUGUUAAGUCAGUUGUGAAAGUUUGCGGCUCAACCGUAAAAUUGCAGUUGAAACUGGCAGUCUUGAGUACAGUAGAGGUGGGCGGAAUUCGUGGUGUAGCGGUGAAAUGCUUAGAUAUCACGAAGAACUCCGAUUGCGAAGGCAGUUCACUGGACUGCAACUGACACUGAGGCUCGAAAGUGUGGGUAUCAAACAGGAUUAGAUACCCUAGUAGUC
rnacentral:rRNA from 1 species